GGUUCCUGGUCCCCGGGAGAAGCCAAGAAGGUCCUGAGUUCAAGAGAAACAGGUGUCUAAACAGAAGUAAAAUCCUGUGGAAGUUUAGGAUAAUUGAAUUACUCGCAAAUUGGAGUAUCCUGGAAAACUUCCUGGAGGAAGUGGCCUGUGCUUUGUAUCAGGAAAAAUAGAUGGAAAAGUGGUGAUGACAGAAAAUUGUCUGUUGCUUUUGGAAAAGAAAGAAAAAAAAAAGUGACGUUUCCCUGUGUUUGACAUCCUCUUCCUUAAAGGUAUCAGAAUGGUGCGUGGGUUUGGUUUGAAGCUAAAGAAAGGAGAAAGAGCCAGAGAAGAAGAAAAAAAGAUUCCCUGCAGCCUGCCAGGGACGUGGUAACUGCCCUGCCAAGAGUGAUCCUGGGAGGGCUAUUGAAAGAGCUCUGAGGCCUCCUUGGCAUAUGGAAGUUCCCAGGCUAGGGGUGGAAUCCGAGCCACAUCCGUGACCUACACCGCAGCUCACGACAACGCUGGAUCAUCAACCCACUGAGUGAGGCCAGAGAUCGAACCCGAGUUUUCCUGCACACCAGUUAGGUUUGUUACCACUGAGCCGCAACAGGAACUCCCAGGAGCUUUAUGAGUGAAUGAAUAAAUGCAUCAUUCCACCCCCACCUCACCGCCGCCACCCCGGGGGAGAGAGUCUACAGCUUUUAGCAGAAUCUCAAAGUUUUUUGUAACGCAGGAAGGUUGAGGAAGCUGAUCCAGGCAAUCUCGAUGUAUAAGUGGGUACUCUAAGGCCCAGAGAGGGCCAGGGACUGGUUCA
rnacentral:lncRNA from 1 species